AUUUAAUGGGGUACCUCUGGGUUUAGUGCUGGGCCCAAUCCUCUUCUCUAUAUACACAGCAAAGCUGAGACCAAACAUCCAGUUCACGCUACUGUGUAUAUGUGCAGGCAUGUUUUUCAAAUGGAAUCUGUGUGCUGCUAUAUGGACAGUCUCCCUCCUGGUGAACAUCAUUCUACAUAGUCCAAAGUUUUGGCCUCUUGUUAUGCUGGGAGGAGCAAUCUGGGCUACUGGUAAUAUAACUUUCCUAUCGUAAAGACUAUUGGGCUUGGUCUUGGUCUUCUUAUAUGGGCUUCAUUUAAUCU